rnacentral:misc_RNA from 1 species
UAGAGGCUCUACUUUGAACACGAUAAGCUUGUGUGGUCAUUGCCAGUACUUGCAUUGAACUAAUAGCAGCCAACCGAUUUUCUUGUUGCAAGUAUAGCUGAGCCACCUGCCUUGAGAAAAAAGCAGCCUUUCGGUGAUAACCAAGAGUCCCAAAGAGGCGAGCUAUUUCAAUGAAUAAUAUCAAUCUGUCACUAGCAUCAAUCAAAGAUUUUGCUCCAUCAGCAGCCGUAGUCAACAAAUCAACCACUUCCUUGGCCAACUCCUUCCUGCAGAGGUAUCGUGCUAAUUUGAGAGUAGCCUCAAGCUCGAAACUUAGAGGAGAAACUCUUUGAGCAUUGUCUUGAAUAAAUGACUUUCUGUAAUGCAAAAUGACAUUAUUGUAACGGUGCUUGACCUCAUCAUCUAGAAAUUGAUCCCUCUGACCCAUUUGAUCUAUCAACAGAGCACAAACACUGCCUUCCAUUGCCCCAGCAUACCAAAAGAAGUCUCCAGUCAAUCUAGCAAGCUCCAAUGAAGUUGUAUAAUGGGCAUUAGCAUCAACAGGUGACCCUGCCAACAGACAGUAAUCCCCGAUAGUUUUCUGUGCACGGCCCAAUCUUCGUUUUUUAGCCUUGAUGACCUCCUCUGAGCUAAGACUCGCUUGGGAAUCUAAAGGUGUCUUGAGAAUAGUUCCACCAGACUCUGCUUGAAGAACUGAUUUUUCAAAUUUCAUCAACAAUGAGGCAGCAAUAUCUUGCAUCAUAGUUUGCAAGUGGAAUUCUUGAGUUUGACGAUCAGCAGGGGGAAACAAAAUUAAGUUGCUCCCCUUGAAGCUUUCAUCCUCUAGCUGAG